rnacentral:rRNA from 1 species
AGAGCGGCGGACGGGUGAGUAACACGUGGACAAUCUCGCCCCCCGGCCCGGGAUAGCCCAGGGAAACCUGGAUUAAUACCGGAUGAGACGGGACCCGCGAAGGCGGGACCCGGGAAAGGCGCUGCGGCGCCGCCGGGGGGAUGAGUCUGCGUCCCAUUAGCUAGACGCGGGGUAACGGCCCACCGUGGCGACGAUGGGUAGCCGGCCUGAGAGGGUGGACGGCCACAUUGGAACUGAGACACGGUCCAGACUCCUACGGGAGGCAGCAGCUAAGAAUCUUCCGCAAUGGGCGAAAGCCUGACGGAGCCGACGCCGCGUGAACGAAGAAGGCCGUGAGGUUGUAAAGUUCUUUUCGGGAGGGGGAACAACCGUGGCAGGGAAUGGCCGCGGGAUGACGUGAAUCCCGGAAUAAGCCCCGGCUAACUACGUGCCAGCCGCUGC